rnacentral:tRNA from 2 species
GGAGAGGUCGCAUAGUGGCCUAGUGCGCCGCCUUGGAAAGGCGGUAUGUCGAAAGGCAUCGAGGGUUCGAAUCCCUCCCUCUCCGCCA